GGUGGUGAUGCUGGUGCUGGUGCUGAUGCUGAUGCUGACUUCUCCGGCUUGUUUCUGCUGGGCGUUCAGGGAGGUGUGUCGGUCUCCUCGCCGCAGAGGAGGAUUUCAGUAAAGAGGUCGUGGAUUCAGAUUUUGGAAAAGAGGAGCUCAUUGUUGCGGAUCUGGUCUAUUCUGUCUCGGGCCAGAGGAAACUGCUGUGGGGCCUUGGGGCGAAACUGAGCCAUGGGUCCCUAUUGAGACCCCCAUCACAAACCAACCAGCAAUUCCACACUGAGAUGACUCCUGCACCAGGCUUGCUGGGCACUGAGGAACCCAUCAGCUACACCUAGAGGUCCCUGGACUCUACCACAGCUAAUUAUUUCACUGCCUCAUCAUAUUAUUACAUCUCUAUGCCCAUGCACGUCUUAUUUAAAUUCUAUAAGUUAGUGAUGUUAGUGCAUAUUGCUCAAAUGAUAAUCCUUGUGCAUACACAUGCUACAGUAUCCUAUUACUACACUGAGCAGUAUUGUAACAAUAACUACUUAAGCUUGAUUUAAUAAUUCAAGAGCUGUGACACUGAAACAUAACAAUCCUGUGCCCAUAAACAUGCAGCUUAUGAAUACAAGCACUGAGGGCUUUCUAAAUAAAUGAUCCGUGUUAUUAUUGGCAUCCACCUCACAUCAGCACGUGCCUCCAUUCACCAAAGCUACAGGGCUCCAGAUGUAGCAACACCUGUGCACCUUUAGAGAAACUCCAAUGUGAUCAGAAGGGGCGAGGCUUUUCCCAGUGGGGGAUAUUGACUUCUUUUUUAGACUGUGGAUGCAGAUGUAAGGCUAAAUAUCAACCCCUGUAAAUAUUUUUUAUGGACCCAAAAUGUAUGAGUAAUGUAGACACUUCUGUUUUGAAUUGAACAUGAUGUUUAUUAUUGCCUCAGCAUUUUAGUGCUUCUGGCUUCAUGUCCUCCAGAGGCAGGGCAGGUCUGACAAGAAAUAACCGCUGAGGAAACAGAGCAAUGACAACUGCCUUUAAAAAACUGCAUCUGGCUGGAAAGAGGCAACGCAAUCUAUUUUGUCCCCUUGCUUUAUAUCGCAGAGUCAAUUAUCAAUACCGGAGUGGCAGUUCUGCAGACAACAGAACUGCAUGCAGACGACUGCAUUCUUCUCUGAACCAUUCAGUUUGUUUUAAUCAGUAUUU